GGGCCCAUGGCUCAAUGGUCAGAGCAGGGGACUCAUAAUCCCUUGGUUGCAGGUUCGAAUCCUGCUGGGCCCACCA
rnacentral:tRNA from 1 species